AUGCUUGGUCAGGAACUCCUUUCUAGAGUC
rnacentral:piRNA from 1 species